UACGAAGGGGGCUAGCGUUGUUCGGAUUUACUGGGCGUAAAGCGCACGUAGGCGGAUUGUUAAGUCAGGGGUGAAAUCCUGGAGCUCAACCCCAGAACUGCCUUUGAUACUGGCAAUCUAGAGUCCGGAAGAGGUGAGUGGAACUCCUAGUGUAGAGGUGGAAUUCGUAGAUAUUAGGAAGAACACCAGUGGCGAAGGCGGUUCACUGGUCCGGUACUGACGCUGAGGUGCGAAAGCGUGGGGAGCAAACAGG
rnacentral:rRNA from 1 species